rnacentral:rRNA from 1 species
AGUGAAUAGAUACCCCGGUAGUCCCAGCUGUAAACGAUGCGCGUUAGGUGUAUCGGUGACCACGAGUCACCGAGGUGCCGAAAGGGAAACCGUGAAACGUGCCGCCUGGGAAGUACGGUCGCAAGGCUGAAACUUAAAGGAAUUGGCGGGGGAGCACCACAACAGGUGGAGCCUGCGGUUUAAAUCGGACUCAACGCCGGGAAGCUCACCGGAUAAGACAGCUGAAUGAUAGCCGGGUUGAAGACUCUGCUUGACUAGCUGAGAGGAGGUGCAUGGCCGUCGUCAGUUCGACUGUGAAGCAAUCCUGUUAAGUCAAGGCAACGAGCGAGACCCAGCCAACAGUUGCCAGCAUGUCCUCGGGAUGGUGGGACACGUGUUGGGACCGCCUCUGCUAAAGAGGAGGAAGGAAUGGGCAACGGUAGGUCAGCAUGCCCCGAAUUAUCCGGGCUACACGCGGGCUACAAUGGUCAGGACAAUGGGU